rnacentral:tRNA from 1 species
GCCUUCAUGGUGUAGUGGUCAGCAUGCUCGAUCCGUAUUCGAGAGGUUCGCGGUUCCAGUUCCGGUGAGAGCA